CUACGGUUCCCAGCUCCGGCCCAAACUACUUUUGGAGCCUACCCAAACAGGCCAGCCCCCGCCCCUGGCGGUUGUGCCAAGAUCUAGAGGCUGCUAGAUGGCUGGCAGUUCUGGGAGCCAGCCAGGGUUCCUGCUGGCCGCAUCCCAUCCAGAGGUGACGACCUGUCUACCCAGUAACCAGAGGAGGAAGCCCACACUCUCCACCUGGUGGAAUCAGACAGCCCAGGUUCAAGACUCCAGCCUGCUCCUUUUGGCCCUGUUUGCAUCCAGGUGGAGGUUCCCAGAUGACAUAUCACCUGUAAUAUAUCAAAAACGUGGAAAUCUGUUUCCCCAAACAAAGUCUUGGAAUUAUCUCAUGGGCCAAACCUCCAUUGUUGUUGUUGAGUCCCUAAGUCGUGUCUGACUCUUUGUGACCCCAU